CUACAAACUUUUGUGAUUUUAUAAUUAAUAUUACAAGUCAAUCCAAAAAUCCUCAAAGACAAAAUCAAAACCCAUGACACGCACAUAGAAUUGAGAUUUGAUGCCAGCACUUCACAAAAGGCAAAACUCGUUCAUCCAGCUCGUUCAACACUAACCCGAAAGCCACAUGGUCCGAUCCUAUGUUACAUCAGGAAAAAAAUAAUAAUAAAUCGGCGAGCUUGGAUCACACUUUGCCUUGCAGAUGCACAAUGUACCCCCACUACAACAACGCAUCCCAUGAGGACGUGCUGGCGAUGGCGCAAGACCCCCAGCUCACAACCCUCGGGACCUUCCGGCAUACGGUGACUUCAACAUCAGCUAAAAAGUUAGCGGAUGUGCACGUCAGCACUUUGCGGCGCAGUUAUCAUUGUACAAGGUGAGGUAUGUGUAUGUGUUAUUUGUCUCCCAUAUCAUAUUCUCCGGAGUAUUUAGCCACAAAUGGAAAAAGUUGGUCGGCCCGGUAGCCCAGUGGUUAGCACGUCGGCUUCACAGUGCAGAGGUACCGGUUUCGAUUCCAGCUCCGGCCUCCCUGUGUGGAGUUUGCAUGUUCUCCCCGGGCCUGCGUGGGUUUUCUCCGGGUGCUCCGGUUUCCUCCCACAUUCCAAAAACAUGCGUGGCAGGCUGAUUGGACGCUCUAAAUUGUCCCUAGGUGUGAGUGUGAGCGUGGAUGGUUGUUCGUCUCUGUGUGCCCUGCGAUUGGCUGGCAACCGAUUCAGGGUGUCCCCCGCCUACUGCCCGAAGACGGCUGGGAUAGGCUCCAGCACCCCCCGCGACCCUAGUGAGGAUCAAGCGGUUCGGAAAAUGGAUGGAUGGAUGGAUGUAUUAA